rnacentral:tRNA from 1 species
UCCCUGGUGGUCAAGUGGUUGGGACUCUGCACUUCCACUGCAGGGGGCCCAGGUUUGAUUCCUGGUUGGGGAA